UUAAUAUUAACCAAAGGGACAGAAGGCUACAAGCCCAAACCCAAAGUGAGCUCUCAUCUAAACAGCAAGAAUCCUACGUUCCCAAUGAGCAAUGGCAGGUACUGGAUUUGAGGGGAAUCUGAAGGGUGCUGUCGGAGGAAGCUGCACACAGACACCGCCAUGGUAGGAUUUGUGUUAGGUGAGUACUUCCACCUUCCAUGCAUACUAAUUCAGAAAGAGGAACUGCAUUUCAGGCCAGCUGCUGUCCGUGGGAGCAGUUCCUGCUUCAGUUAGCUCCGGCCUGGGCGGUAGUUGGCCUGAAACAGAUACUCAACAAUCCUGGGAGGUCAUUAUUCCACUGUUGUAUCAAGCCAGCUGCUUUCGGAUGCUGGGGAAUAUGGUAAGCAGCAGAUCCCACGAGCGAGGGUCCACUGUGGCACUUCUCUGGCUGUGAAGUGAGUUCCUCGGUCAGAAGCGAUACUGCGCGGGACACCAUGACGAUGGAAGAAACAUUCUGUAAGUACACAGAUGGUGCUUUAGGCAGAAGUAUGACAUGCAGUAAAGGCAAACCGACAAUCGGAAGAAAUUAUCUACUCCAGUAAGGACAGAGCAUUGUUCUUUCCACAGAGGAAACGGUCCAAUGGAGUCAACUUGCCACCAGGCCACUGGCUGGUCACCCCAGGGAAUGGUGCCAUACUAUAUUUGGGGUUCAGUGCUGGUCUCUGCUCUUGGCAGAUCUGGCACUCAGCAGCAGCUGUAAUCAGGCCAGCCUUGGUGAGUGAGUUAUCCAUGUUGUUGAGCCCAUGCAUAACCUCCAGCUGCCACCAUGACCAUUUCGUUCAUGGGCAGCUGGACAAUGACUCAGAUGACUGGGGAGAAGGCUGGCUGUCCAAAGAAGGGGUCGUCCUAUCUACUUCCUCAGCAUUUAAGUGGCACACAAUUAUCUUACAUGCUUUGCCCAUUCAGAGAGAUCUGUCCACAUACUCCUUCCCCAGAUGUCUUGCUCACCCGUUUUCCAUUCAUGCUCUUCCCAGCCAGUCCAUUGGCUACAGCCCAUGAGUCGGCAAACAGUCGCACAUCUGGCCAUUUCCCCUUCCAAGAGAAAUGUAUAGCCAUAUGUACUGCCUAAAGUUCUGCCCACUGCGAAGGUUCCUCUUCGCUGGUGUCUUCCAGAGUUGUCCCAGAAAUGAAUGGUUUGUAAUCCUGCAGCUGUCCACUUCUGAAUGGUGCCUGCAUAGCAUGUAGAACCAUCAAUAAAACAGACCCUAGCCCUUUUUCCCCUCAGACAACCCCUGAAACUACAGGUGCAUAGUUGGAAGCAGAAGGCCCUGUAAUAGGAGUAGAACCCAUAGGUGUCAGAACAUGGUCCAAGAAUGUAGUGGGAGAUUUCUGAGUGCUUGUGAGAAAACUCCAAGAAAACAAGAGUCUUAGGACCUCAAUUUCUUUAAAAACAUGAAAUUGUUUCUUGUAUUAUGCUUUCGUGCCUCCCCCAGGCGUAGCAGAUAGGAGUGAGUCUACUUCAGUUUACUCAUUACAGCUGGGUGUUGUUAUUUGUAAACACAUGCCUCUGCGGAAGAACAUGUUAUUAGUGCAGCUUGCCCUUGUGACUUACGUGACUCUGUAUCCUUAAAGUGUGUAUUGUAUGAUGUUCUGAAUAAAGUUGGCUAUUGCAUGAGA